GAUGAACGCUGACAGAAUGCUUAACACAUGCAAGUCUACUUGAUCCUUCGGGUGAUGGUGGCGGACGGGUGAGUAACGCGUAAAGAACUUGCCUUGCAGUCUGGGACAACGUCUGGAAACGGACGCUAAUACCGGAUAUUAUGAUUGAAUCGCAUGAUUUGAUUAUGAAAGCUAUAUGCGCUGCGAGAGAGCUUUGCGUCCCAUUAGUUAGUUGGUGAGGUAACGGCUCACCAAGACGAUGAUGGGUAGCCGGCCUGAGAGGGUGAACGGCCACAAGGGGACUGAGACACGGCCCUUACUCCUACGGGAGGCAGCAGUGGGGAAUAUUGGACAAUGGACCAAAAGUCUGAUCCAGCAAUUCUGUGUGCACGAUGAAGUUUUUCGGAAUGUAAAGUGCUUUCAGUUGGGAAGAAGAAAGUGACGGUACCAACAGAAGAAGCGACGGCUAAAUACGUGCCAGCAGCCGCGGUAAUACGUAUGUCGCAAGCGUUAUCCGGAUUUAUUGGGCGUAAAGCGCGUCUAGGCGGUUUGGUAAGUCUGAUGUGAAAAUGCGGGGCUCAACUCCGUAUUGCGUUGGAAACUGCCAAACUAGAGUACUGGAGAGGUGGGCGGAACUACAAGUGUAGAGGUGAAAUUCGUAGAUAUUUGUAGGAAUGCCGAUGGNGAAGCCAGCCCACUGGACAGAUACUGACGCUAAAGCGCGAAAGCGUGGGUAGCAAACAGG
rnacentral:rRNA from 1 species